rnacentral:rRNA from 1 species
CUUUAAGGUCUAACCUGCCCAGUGAUUAGAUUAAAUGGCCGCAGUAUUUUGACUGUGCAAAGGUAGCAUAAUCAUUAGUUUCUUAAUUGGAAGCUUGAAUGAAUGGUUGGACGAGGUAAAUACUGUCUUUAUUUAAUUUAUAUUAGAAUUUAACUUUUGAGUGAAAAGGCUUAAAUUUAAUUAAUAGACGAGAAGACCCUAUAGAUCUUUAUAUUUAUAUUUUUUGAUUAGGCUAGGAUUAUUUUAUGAUCAGGGGUUAUAAAUAUUUUAUUGGGGUAAUAUAAAGAUUUAGUAAAUUCUUUGAAUAUUUAAACAAUAAUGAUUGGUUUAUUGAUCCAGUAGUAUUGAUUAUAAGAUUAAGUUACCUUAGGGAUAACAGCGUAAUUUUUUUUGAGAGUUCAUAUCGAUAAAGAAGUUUGCGACCUCGAUGUUGGAUUAAAAAUUAUCUUGGGUGAAGGAGUUCAAGAUUUUGGUCUGUUCGACCAUUAAAUUUUUACAUGAUCUGAGUUCAGACCGGUGUAAGCCAGGUCGGUUUCUAUCUUUAUAAAAUGGUUAUAUUUCAGUACGAAAGGACCAAAUAUAUAAUAUAUUAAUAUUUAUUUUUUGAAUAUUAUUAUUACUUUGGCAGAAUAGUGUAAUGAAUUUAGAAUUCAUGUAUGUGAUUAUAUCACAGGUAAUACUUGUAUAUUGGUGAUUUGGUUUUAAUAUUUAUUUGCAUGAUUUUAUUAGUGAUUUGUGUACUGGUGGGUGUGGCUUUCUUAACUUUAUUGGAGCGUAAGGUUU